rnacentral:misc_RNA from 1 species
AACUUUUGGCAACGGAUCUCUCAUGCCUAGGUCGUACCGCCUCCGCACACGUGCUCGAUAGCCUGCUUGAUGUAGUCGGGUAUGUCACACUUUGUGUUGGAGGCUAGGAGAUCCUGCGCGAGUGCCUGUCCAAACCGUCCCUUCUGAACGUUGUUGCAAUUCCGCUCGAACAGUCCGCAAAACAGAGCUUUCGCCUUGGCCGCGUCAUCGCUUGCCUGAUUCACGGCCUUUGCCACUUCUUCCCCGAUCUUCGGAUGCAGCCUCUUCAGCGCCUUAAGCAUUACGAUUCGGUUCGAUUCGUAGAGCGCCAGAUCGUACUCCAGAGUCUUCAAGCCAUGGAACACGCCGACAAAGUCAUCUUUCAACUUAAGCAUAUCAAUAAGCGGAGGCU